rnacentral:tRNA from 1 species
GGUCUCAUAGCUCAGCUGGAUAGAGCAACAGAUUUCUAAUCUGUGGGUCGGGGGUUCGAAUCCCUCUGGGAUCA